rnacentral:tRNA from 1 species
GGCCUCGUAGUUAAAUGGAUAUAACGUGAGCCUCCGAAGCUCAAGAUGCAGGUUCGAUUCCUGCCGAGGCUA